rnacentral:rRNA from 1 species
ACUCAAAUGAAUUGACGGGGGCCCGCACAAGCAGCGGAGCGUGUGGUUUAAUUCGAGGCUACGCGAAGAACCUUACCCAGGUUUGACAUGUGAGUAGUAGUGAAGCGAAAGCGGAACGAUCCUUCGGGAAGCUUACACAGGUGAUGCAUGGCUGUCGUCAGCUCGUGCCGUGAGGUGUUUGGUUAAGUCCAGUAACGAGCGCAACCCCUAGGGCCAGUUACAAGUGUCUGGCGCGACUGCCGGUCUUAAGCCGGAGGAAGGUGGGGAUGACGUCAAGUCAGCAUGUCCUUUAUAUCUGGGGCUACACACACGCUACAAUGGGCGGUACAAUGGGUCGCCAACCCGCGAGGGGGAGCCAAUCCUAAAAAACCGUCCUCAGUUCAGAUCGCAGGCUGCAACUCGCCUGCGUGAAGUCGGAGUUGCUAGUAAAUGCAGGACAGCUAUACUGCAUUGAAUACGUUCCCGGGCCUUGUACACACCGCCCGU